rnacentral:rRNA from 1 species
GUCUUUUUGAGUAUAAUUAAAGUCUAGCCUGCCCACUGAGGAGUUAAAUGGCCGCGGUAUCUUGACCGUGCUAAGGUAGCAUAAUCAUUAGUUCUUUAAUUGAGAGCUGGAAUGAAAGGUUGGAUGAGAAAAUAACUGUCUCUAUUUAAUUUAAUUAGAAUUUUAUUUUUAAGUUAAAAAGCUUAAAUUUAAUUUAAAGACGAGAAGACCCUAUAGAGUUUUAAAUAUAUUAAUAAUAUAUUUAUUUUAGAUUUAAUAUUAUAUGUUAUUAUAUUUUUUUAGUUGGGGUGAUUUAAAAAUUAAGUAAACUUUUUUUAUUUUAAAUCAUUAAUUUAUGAGUGCUUGAUCCAAUUAUUGUUGAUUAUAAGAUAAAGUUACCUUAGGGAUAACAGCGUAAUUUUUUUUGAGAGUUCUUAUCGAAAAGAAAGAUUGCGACCUCGAUGUUGGAUUAAAAUUUAUUUUUGGUGCAGAAGCUAAAAUAUUAAGUCUGUUCGACUUUUGAAAUUUUACAUGAUCUGAGUUUAAACCGGCGUAAGCCAGGUUGGUUUCUAUCUUAAAUAUAUUAUAAUAUUUUAGUACGAAAGGAUCAGAUAUUAAAUAAAUUAUUUUUAUUUUAGAAUAAAAUUGUUAUUUUGGCAGAAUAGUGCUGUAGAUUUAGAAUCUUCACAUGUAAUUAAUAAAUUACAAAUAAUAAUUGAUAUUUAAAGAUAGGGUUAUAAUAUUGAUUAGAAGGUUGAUUUUAGUAAUUUGUGUUUUAAUCAGAGUAGCUUUUUUAACAUUAUUAGAACGAAAAGUUUU